UUUGAGGAGUGAGGUAUGAGUUUAAAUUAAAGUUAGAGAAUUGUUCGUUUCGAGGACGAAACUCCUUUUAAGGAGGGGAGGAUGUAAGGAAGUAAAUUCUCGAAAUUCGAGGAUUGUACUUCAACCGGGGUCGACUGACUGUCGAGAGAAUACCCUUUGUGGAAGUUUAGAAUGCCCAAAACACAAAAAGUGCUUGGGAGUUGAGUCCGCGAGAGCAAAUCGGUAAAUCUGGACUCAGCAGAUUUUUGCUCUCGGGGAUUGGUCCCUGGAGGGAAGGACCGGUCCCCGUAGCUGGGGGUCGCGGGGCAAGGUCGAUGCAAUCGGUCCCUGGCUGAGGGGACCGGUCCCCGUGCGCGACACCCGCGAGAGGAAGCCUAAAUUUGGCUAAGUCCUGAAGGUUCCCUUUUCGGGAACCGGUCUCCCAGGAGAGACCGGUCUCCCGAGGACCGGUCUCCCGGGGAGAGACCGGAUCCCGAACGCGAAAAAUCCCCAGACUGCAGGGAGAGCUCUCGGGGACCGGUCCCUUGUCGGGGAGACCGGUCCCUCUGGGCGAAAACUGCCCAGUGAGGGCUGUGCAAUGGAUGAAAAGCUGAGGGGUCUAAGUGCAAAAUGGCCUUUAUUAGAGUAGGCUGAGCCCUCUCUCUCUCCCUCACACUCUUAUUUCACUCUCUCUCACUCUCUUUCUCUCUUACUCCCUCUCUCUCUCUAGAAAGGAAAGAAGGAGAAGAAGAACAAGGAGGAGAGGAAGGAAAAGAAGAGGAAGAUAAGGAAGGAGAAGAAGGAGGAGAUCAAGAGGAAGGCUUUGAGCACCUCCAUCUCCCUCUCCUCUUCCCAUUGGUGUAGCUCUUGAGGUAAGCUACUAAACCCUAACUUCUAGAACUUAGGGUUUUGGGUUUUUAUGCUUUGGAAUGGGUCAAAUGGACCCUAGGCAAGCUUCUAAGUAGAUCAAUCCCAUGAUUCUAGGGUUUUAUUGGUGGGUUGCUAUAUGUGCAACCUAGGGCUCCAAAUGGGGGCAUUUUAUAAAGUAUGAGAUUGAUCUCAUUUGAGGCCUUGUAAACCUAAUCGAUAGGUGCCCAAACGCGGGGGCGAAGUCGAUUUCGCGAUUUAUCGAGCGGGCUUAGAGCAAUCGGCGAAUUACGGUCGUUUCGGCGUUAUCUUGGACCAAGGGAGGCUAAAGCCUCAUCGUAGUGCUCGCCGAGGAGCGUUUCCUAAGCCUCUACAUCGAUUAAAGGUGGGGGGUGUUAUCCCGAAGCUUUCGAACUCCUUUCUAUGUCUUAGAUUGCAUUUAAUCUCAUCUCUUCAUGUUGCAUUGUAGGAUUGCAUAGUAGCUCCUUUCCUUAUGCUCUCUAAUUGAUAACCUAGUGUACUCGGAACGCUUGGUAACUUAGAUAGGUGAGGAUUGGGUCGGAACGUGAAUCCUAUGAUGCGAAAGAAAAGAGGUGAACCCGAUGGAGGUAUUGAUGACAUAGUAAGUAGUGUUUAGUGUUAAGGAACACACGAGUGGCGUCCAAAUGUUAAAUGAUGACGAGUGGCAUUAAUGUAGUGUAUAUAACACUAGAGGUCGAUGGACCUAGGGAUAGGUGGAUCCCGUAGAAAAUGCCUUGUGAACAAUGAAUUUAGAGAGCUAAAUAGCAUUUGAUGAAUGUCGGGAACAAAUGAUUCCGCAAGAGAUGUUGACCCUAGAGUAGGGCAUCCUCACUUGGAGAGGAUUUGAUUGGGUUGUGGACCCUAGUUAUAGUGCUUCCUCACUUGGAGAGGAUUUGAUUGGGUGUUGACCCUAGUUACAGUGUAUCCUCACUUGGAGAGGAUAGAUCUAGCUCACAGUCUGCGUUUAGGAUGGUAUAGCCAUCCAAUCCCCACAUGGAGGGGAUUGUCGUCGAGUACUCCGGAGUGUCGCGCGACUAGGACCACUUGGAGGUCCAGACCACAUCGAGGUCCGCAGACGGUCCUGGGCUUGGGUGCACUUGGAGCUCCCUCCCCACUUUGGGAUUAAAAGGUGAGUUAUAGGCGAGCCCUAGGGCCUCGCCACGGAUUGGAUAAAUGGCUACGGAAGGACGCGAUGUGCCCGCACCCUCGACUCGUGUACCUGAGACGGCUGAGGGUGAGGGCAUAACGGCGGUUCCGGUGACGGCACGUCCACCGCCGCAAUUGUCCCUCAAGCGACGUCAGGAUCGACGACUCCCGAGAUGUCGGCCGAGGAUGUGGAGGGGGAGCGUGCGUUGGCGGCUCUUAUCAAGUUUAACAAAUUCCAUCCGCCCAUCUUCGAGGGCGAGAAGGUGGAGCCGGCGAUGGUCGAGUCAUGGAUCGACUCAAUGGAGACUCUCUUCGAAAACCUGCGCACUUUGGAGAGAGAUAAGGUGCAUCUCGCCACCCACUGCUUAGAGAAGGCGACAAAGGUGUGGUAGAAGCGUGUGAAACGGGAUCGGCCUUCCGAUCUUCCACCGAUGUUAUGAGAGGAAUUCAAGCGGGAGAUGUUUGCUAGCUAUUUCCCCGAUACGCUGAGGCGGAAGCUCAAGGAGAAGUUUCGCAAGUUGGAGCAAGGGGACCGCUCGAUAGCGGAAUAUGAACAGGAGUUCUCCCACAUCAUUGACUGUGUCCCGGAUGUUGUAAAGGAUGAUCGGGACCGGGCCGAUUGGUUCUUGCGAGGACUUCGGCCGGGAAUCUACAAGGCCGUGCAAAUACUUAAGCUUACGACCUUCGCGGAGGUCUUCAACCGAGCACUUCGGGCGGAGCACCGAGACGCCCACGUUCGGGAGAAGCGUGAGAUGCUGGCCGAGUCCAAGGACAAAAGCAAGAAACGCCAUGGCAGCAGCGAUUCGGGGGGACAAACACGUUCCAAGAAGCCCCCGAAGUAUCCUCGUACUCAGCCAAAGGGCGGUGGAGUGCGACGGUGCAUCAUAUGCGACGGAGACCACCUAGUCUCGCGAUGUGAGCAGGGCCGAGGCAAGUGCUACAAGUGUAGGCAACCGGGGCACUUCAUUCGGGAUUGCCCGGGAGGAGGAGCCUCACCUGCCCCAUUGAUUGCAGCGGUGCCAGCGAUUCCGGCUCACUAUGGAGGAGCUCCACCGGCGGCCGCGACGACGGGACUCGCUCUACCGGCGACCGCCCUGUGACCGGAGUUUUAACGAGUUGAAACAGAGAUUAACUUCGACUCCGGUGCUCGCUCUACCGGUACAGGGCGAAGACUUCGUAGUCUACAGCGAUGCUUCCUAUCUAGGAUUGGGGUGUGUAUUGAUGCAGGGCGGGAAGGUGAUUGCUUAUGCAUCUCGUCAGCUGAAGAGCUAUGAGAAGAACUACCUCAUCUAUGAUUUGGAGCUAGCGGCGAUAAUUUUCGCCUUAAAGCUAUGGAGGCACUACCUAUAUGGUGCCCAUUGUGAGAUCUAUAUCGACCACAAGAGCUUGAAGUAUCUGUUCACGCAGAAAGAACUCAAUAUGCGACAGCGGCGGUGGUUGGAAUUAUUAAAGGAUUAUGAUGUCGACAUCCUUUACAACCCCGGAAAAGCUAAUGUGGUCGCAGAUGCGCUGAGCAGGAAAUCGGCGGAGAACCUCUCUAUGUGGGUCACAAACCAGACACCGUUAUGGCUAGACAUGGAACAGAUGGGUCUAGAGGUGGUUGCUCCUGAGACUCCAGCUCAAUUGAUGGCAUUUGUUGUCCAACCGACCUUGUUGGAGAGGAUUAAGGAUCUACAACCCGCAAACCCAGAACUCCAAAAGGUGCGGCGAAACAUCGAGGACGGUCUACGCGGCGACUUCUGUAUAGACGUCGAUUGUUCGGCCACCAUUUUUUGAUAGGACAAUCUAUUCCAAAAAGAAUAUUGAAGGACAAUCUAUUGUUCGGCCACCAUUUUUUGAUGGGACCGAUUAUCCUUUUUGGAAGAUUAGAAUGAAGAUAUUCUUUCAAUCUCUAGAUUUUGAUAUUUGGGAUAUAAUCGAAAGUGGUUAUAUCACUCCAUCAAAAUGAAGAGCGGAAUGGAAUGAAGCCGAAAAAUUUUGCUUUCAAUUGAAUGCUAAAGCUAUCAAUUCAUUCCUUUGCGCUCUUAGUAGAGAAGAGUUUCACCGAAUCUCUACAUGCACAACGGCUAAAGAGAUUUGGGAUAAAUUAGAAGUUACUCAUGAAGGUACUUCUAGGGUGAAGGAAUCUAAAAUAAGCAUGCUUAUGUCAAAUUAUGAACUAUUCAAAAUGGAGGAAAGUGAAUCCAUUUCGAAUAUGUUCACAAGAUUUACUAACAUUAUAAAUAGCUUGAAAGCCUUAGGUAAGGAUUUUCCUCAAUCGGACUUGGUACGAAAACUUCUUCGUGUACUACCAAGAAGUUGGAUACCUAAGGUUACGGCUAUCCAAGAAGCUCAUGACUUGGACAAAGUAAAAAUUGAUGAACUUGUCGGAUCACUCAUGGCGCAUGAACAACGCCUCAAAGAAUAUGACAACGAAGCGGCUCCUGAGAAAAAGAAAAGCCUUGCACUUAAGGGAGUCAUUGCUUCCGAGAGUGAAGAUGGCGAAGAAGGUUCGAGCGAAGAAAUCGCUAUGAUUUCAAAAAGGCUCGAUCGACUAAUCAAGAAGCGCAACUUGAGGAGACCUAAACGAGACGGGUUCAAAGGUGAAGGAUUCAAGAAAGGAAUCAUUUGCUACAAUUGUAAUAAACCAGGACAUUUGAAAAGUGAAUGCACUCUUCCAAACAAAACUUUUAAGAAAGACAAGAAAAAGAAAGCCUUCACCAGCAACAAGCAUCUCUAAGGAUUAAACACCAAAAACACCAAAAUCCAUCAAAUCCAGUGUACUAUAAUAGAGUAUCACCCUCAAGUCCGAAAUCCAGCUUCCUCUAAAGAUUGCAUCAAGAAAACCCACAAACUCUCAAAUUAAGUCUAAAAACACCAGCAGCACAGAAAAAUGCCAAAUUAACCAUGCUAACCUCAAUCAAAUGUUGUCAAAAUAGGCUCCACGAAAUCUUCAGGAAGUCUUCUAACCAACAAACCAAAUUUUGUGGCAAAUGGAGUUUCCUACGUUGCACACGAGCCAAAACGCCAAAUAUCACUGCUGGAAUUCUACUGAAACUGCAACCCUCAAUGUAAACUUGUGCAAAUUUGGAGGAUUUGAAGGGCUAAAAUGCAAAAAAUGGGUUUCUCUGUGAAAAAGGGUGAAAAAGCUUCUCAGGGGAUCGCACCCAAGCUUUUAUAGAGAGGUGAAAGGAUGAGAUAAGCCCCAGGAACAGAAACACAAACCUGCAGUUCCUGCAGAAACGGGCACUUUCGGGCGCCCUGAACUAUGUUCUGGGCGUCCGAAACCCCCAGGCUACACAAAUGCUCCACUUCGGUUCCUUCGCCCGCAGUGUGCUGCACCCUUAUUGUGACACCCCAAUAGUCCCACAUCGGAUGGGAAAGGGGUUGUCAUUGGGUUUAUAAGAGACUUAGACACUAGUAAUAAUAACUGGGCUUAAGCAUUUUGGGCUGUGGUUGAGCCCAAUGAGUUAUUAUUGUUAGUGGGCUUGGUCGUUACAUUUGGUAUCAAAGCCGGUUCACCAGCUGGACAUGUGUGGCGAGUCUCGGCUGAGCCAGGGUCUGGAUGACGGGCUAGCGAGACGAGUCUCACAUCGCCUAGUGAUCUUGGGCUGUGUGUGUGAUUGGACCGACGAGGACGUCAGGGCCUUAACGGGGGGAGUCUGUGACAUCCCAAUAGUCCCACAUCGGAUAGGAAAGGAGUUGUCGUUGGGUUUAUAAGAGACUUAGAUACUAGUAAUAAUAACUAGGCUUAAGCAUUUUGGGCUGUGGUUGGGCCCAACGAGUUAUUAUUGCUAGUGGGCUGAGUCGUUACACUUAUCGUGGUCCGGCGGCACACACCCACCACCAGACAUGCGUCAACGACAACGAUAUUCCCAAAGUAAAUUUUCGCACCCACUUCUAGGCGCCCGAAACCUAGGAUCCGAAUUGGCUUCCAGUUUCAGUUAAUUUCAACACUCGGUUCUGGGCGACCCAAACCUAUUCUAGGCGCCCAAAACUGGCAAAACUUCAGUUUUGCUUAUUUAAGUGCGCCAAGUCCAUUUCUGCAUCCAUUUCGUGCAGAAUUGACUCCGACUCAGUCCGACACUCUCCAGAUAUGUCGACCAGUCACUAAUACUGUAGCCAAUCCUCUCCAAAACUCCAGAACACUACACGUUCAUAGUGAUCCAAUAGCUCGUUUUCGACGGUUCGACUAUCCUGGACCCAAUGGAACUGACGAAUUUGGGAUUUGAUGCACAGUUUUCGAGAAAAAGGAGGUUUAUUGGAUUUACAUAUAUAUAAGUGUGGUUUUUUGGAAAAUUGGAGAGUAGAUGGAUUAUGUCGCAAAUCGGCGAACAUAUCGAGCAAAACAAAAUUGUGAAUUCAAUGUCCCGAUUGUGCUGAACGCGUUGGGGCAGUCCGUUCGCAAAUCUGACGGAUUGAUCUCCUGAUAUCGUGCAAAGAUCGAGAAGGGGUUGAAAGUUGGCAAAAUGAAAAAUCUGCAAAACACCCUAUAUUUUAUGUGCCAUUUUUGUGCAAUUUCGAACGUCGAAGUGUGUACGCGCGAAAUACACGUGCUACCAGGGUCUCGGCUAAAAAUACUGGAUCUCGGUAGACUUUUGUGCAAAUAUGCCACCUAGUAUAAAGGAGCUAACUAGGGUUUUCAUGGAAGAAAACCCUAGCCUAGCUCAGCUGACCCCUAGCCAACAUCAGCACAUCCCCCUGCCCUAGCCGCGCGUGCCUCGGCCACCUGCGCACGCCGCCGGCAGCCGGAGAGGCCGGUCCUCCCUCUCCUCCAUUAUCUUCUCCACUAAAUCACCCUCCUUCUCUGCCCAUGGACCAGCCAGGGUGGUCCUCACCCACGUGCACCCCCUUGGCAGUGGCCUCAACCUCCGGCGACUUUCUGCGUGCAUCACCGCCUUCCCCACAAGCCACCGCCGCCGCCGCUAGCUCCCUGCGGCCGCCCCGAGCCAGCUUGGGCUGAGACUGAGCCAGCCUCCCUCCCGCGCGCCGCCGCCGCCUAGGGCCGGCCGCGCCGCCCUUCCCCGGCCUCCGGCGACCCAUCGCCGUCGCCCUGUAGCUCUCUGGCCGCCGCCUUGGCCGCUGCGACUAGCUGAGCCUAAGCCGAGCCGAUGCGGGCUCGGGAUGCUCCAGCGCCGUCGCCGCGGCCCUCCUCCAUGGGCCGACGUGAGCGCCGCCUCCCCUUGGUCGGCCGUACUCGUCUGCCCCCGGCGUUCCCGCCGCCGGAGCCCUCUACCGUCCGGACCUGAGCCAAGCUCUUCCUUGACUCGUGCGGCUAGGGCAUCGUUGCCCGCCGCCGCCGCCGCCUACCGUCGUCGGAAGAUGCGCUCCCCGACCUUCUCUUGUUGGCAGCACUCACCUGCCAUCGACCGCCGGCCGCCCGACCGCUGUCGGCCGUGCCAUGACCCUUUAUUGCCUGGUAAGCUUUAUUAUACUGUUUCGUGCAUUAUUUACCGUUCGAAUCACAGUUUUGGCGAACCGGGGCUAUUCCGAUGCCUCGGGAGGUGAGCAAGGUGAUCGUUGGUCAGUGCUGAUCACAGUGCUUACCUCAUUUGGAGUCAAUGAGCCCUAGAUUGAGGAAUUGGACGUGUUUUAGUUUCAGCGCGUAGUGUUUGCUGAACUUCGAGUCGCUCCCGGGCUCUCCACAGUGGUCGGCUAUGCUCCGAAGCACAAGCACGGCCUCCGACACAUUGAGACUUGUCAGCGGGUGUCUCGGCCAGGCUAGAAUGUCCUCGGUUUGAGCUGCGGGCUGUAAAACUCUAAAAAUCAUAUAAAAUGAUGUAAUUUUAUGUAGUCACGGGGGCUUAUUUGCAAAUUUACGUUUAGUGGCCACUGUGGGUGGCGUGUGCGGGUAUCGGGUGACCUCUGGACUUGUUGUCCAAGGCCUCAGGCCUUUCUGGAAAUCGAAUGUCGAUUUUUAGUGUGUUUUUCGGCGAAAUUCGCCGACGGAACGUGAUUUCGGUUCGGAAUUCUUCCGACUGUGCCUCACGGUAGAUCAUGUUGUCGCUGAGACUUGUUGGUUGGUCACACGCAUCGUUUCGAGGGUUCGAAAACGGCGGGUGAGCGACAGUGGGUUCUGGCGUCGAAAUUGACACUUCCGGAAACCCGGAUCAGAACGAUUAUCCGAUGAUAAUCGUUUUGAUGUGAGGAUAAAUGUUUUCUGCUAGGUCACACAAAUUAUCGUGUUUUGUGGCAGCAGGUGACUCGUGGCACGAGUCGGUGAGUUUCGGGACAGUUCAUGGGUCCCGGCGAAGAUCCGGUGCGAUUUUCGAUACUUCCGGCGAGUUACGGCAAUCGGUUUUGGGAAACCGAUUCCCGUGGGUUUACUGGUGGGGAUUGUGAGCUAGUGGUUCUCAUUUGUGGGUUGGAUUCUAACCCGGUGGACCCUUUGUAGGUCCAGUUGGCGUUCUUCUACAGACAGGAGACAGGUGCCACGUACGUACAAGUGGGUAGUUCGACCCGAAGUUGGUAUAGUGGUGCACGCUCGGUGACAUCCCCUUUUUCCUGUUAUUAUCCUGCAUAUACAUUAUGUUGAGCCUAGCGCCUUUAUUAUUCCUUUUAUGCUCUACUUGGUUGCUUUCAUGUCUAGCAUCAUGAGUAGGAGUAGAUCAGGUUUAUGAUUACAUAUGAGAUCGGUGACCUAGACGGUCGGUUCUUAUAUCUCGUACUAUGAUCUAUUCGGUCGGUUCACUGCAUCUGAUAUUGUGACCUACUUGGUCGGUUCGACUACUUGGCGACUUACACGAUCGGUAUACCCUGAGGGGUAGGAUUGUUGGCUAGUGGCUAACGGUUAGUUCUGGAUUAUACCAAUGUAUGAUGUGACAUCCUUGUGACCUAUUGGUCAGUUCUUGUGUAUAUAUAUGUUAGUUAACAUUGAGUGGUCGAUACUUGCAUAUCUUCGAAAGGAUGUUGAGUUGUUCCAUCCUAGUUGAUCUGAGUGGUCGGUAUUUGUGUUUCUUACGGUUCGAUGACCUAUUGGUCAGUGUGCCUCCGAGGGGUGGUGAUUGUCAGCUAGUUGCCGACGGUUGGCUAUUGAGCAUAUCAGCAUCGAUCGCCACUGCUCGUACGCAUUUCACGAACACCAAUGGUUUGGCCACUGCAGGAAAGUGUUUUUUUCCGAAAAAGUGGUUAGGAGUGCCAGCCCAUGAGCCCAGGAGCUUUAUGCUAGGGUUAUAUGCUUUCAGGCCCAGGAGCUUUAUGCUAGGGUCAUUUGCCUUUCAGACCCAGGAGCUUAUGCUAGGGUCAUAUAUGAAAGAUAUGGAUCCCUAGGAUCUAAAAGGUAAAAGACACCUAGAGGGGGGUGAAUAGGUGUAAACGGCAACAAUCUCGGAAUUCGAUGCAAAUUUGAAAUAGAAUGCGGAAAAAUAAAAUCAGCACACCGAGAAUUAACGUGGGAAAACUCCAAACCGGAGAGAAAAACCCACGGGACCGAACACACAAAGAAAUCCACUAAGAAAACGUGAGUACAAGUGAUUUAUCAAAAAUACAAGACUCGAAAUACCGAAUUCUCGUUGUAGAAUAUCUUUGCCAGUCCUCGAUCGCUUGAAAUCCUCCAACCGAUCACACUGCAAAUCCUUGCAGCCACACACGCCUCGACUCCACGAAACGCCUACCGAAUCCACGGUCUUCACGCGAGAUCCACGCGUUAACGCUCCAUCCGAAGCUUGUAGAGAUUUAACAAUUUGUGGUGAUUUAAACACUUUGAAAGCACAUAUGAUAUGAGGAGAAAUCCAAAUCAAUACAUCACCAAUUUUGAUCCUUAAAGAAAGUUUGAGUCAAAAACUGAAGAAUCAAAACGAUGAUCUAAAACUUGAUAUUGAGAAACAUGGAUCAAAAACUCAAAUCAAGCCGUUAGGGUUUCUAAAAAAAAUUGUCUCGCUCAACACACAUCAUAUGAAGAUCCUCAUAUCAUAUUUAUAGGUUUAGAAGACUUCUAGACAGACUAGGAUUCUAAAAACUCAAUUUUAAAAACAGACGACGGUCUCAAGGUCCGGUCCUCUCGAGGAGACCGGUCCUUGGGAGACCGGUCCUCCAAGGUGAGGUCCGGUCUUACGCUGCGUAGAUGUCAAAAUAUGCGUACGGGGACCGGUCCUCAAUUCAGAGACCGGUCCUUCCCUGCGCAACAAGAAAAACCACGUACGGGGACCGGUCCUCAUGAUCAGAGACCGGUCUCCCAAACCUUCUACGCAGAGAAGCUUGAUGGGUCCGGUCCCUCUGAUCAAGGACCGGUCCCCGACCCCUGAGUUUUUCCAGAAAACUUAAUUUUUAAUAAACAAGAAUGAAACCAAGUCUUCUAAACAUCUUUUAACAAUGAAAACUUCACCACAAAUUAUUUAUAAUCAUACCUGAGUUCUCAAGGGUCUUUGAUCAUAAGAACUUCAAUUCUUUUCGUCAAUCUUCAUCUUCUAAUUCUUCGAGACUCCAUCCAAACCAUCACGAAAUUCGCCAACUUAUAAAAUCCUUAACAAUAUACAGGUUAAAGCAGUUAUGGCACAGACCUGAGAUCCACGGACCAAUAUGGCAGGUUUAUGAUUGGGUACUUUUGGAUUUAUUAUCCUGUUGAUGCAUACAUACAGUAGCGGUAGUGAUUCAUAUAUGUAUCUCAUUCUUUUUUUAUCGUUGCUACUGUAUUAUCAUAGCCAUACUUUUGUUUAUCCUCCUUGACUGGUGAGUACCCUCGCCCUCGUCGGAUUGUGGUACCAACUGGGAGGGGAGACAUGUGUACAUGUUCUCACCCCCCACCCCCUUUCAGGUGAUGUUAUAGGUCCGAGUCAGGACGGUUCGUGAGGUGCGCGCUUAGCGAUUGAUAGAGCUACUGACCCGUCAUUUGUGGUUUAAUUCUUAUCCCGACUGUCGUAAAAUAAUUGACUUAGUAUUUAUGGUUCAGUUGGUUUCAUGUAAAUUGGAUAUGUACGAUUUUGUAAAUGUAAUAAAGAAUUGAUUGUUUUUAUGAGAUGAAAAUGAUUUUAUACUCCUCAUGGUAGCAUGUUUUAAAAAAAAAUGGUUUUCGUGUGGAAAACGGUUUUGAAAAGGUUUUCCUGGUUUUUAUAAUUUUUAGUGUUUCAAAAUAAGUUUCCAAGUGGGAAACAUUUUAAACUAAUAAUAGAUGUGGAUUUAUGAAGAAAAUAUUUAAAUUUUCUGAUUGAAUGAAUGUGAAUUGAUUUAUGUGAUGUGGUGAAUGUAUAUGGCUAUUUAUAUAUUGUAGUUGUAUCAUGUACUUGUGCGACGCCGUGUAAAUACAGGGGAGACUCUGUCCGUGUGAACAGUGGGCUUUCUGUAUUUGUGCCGGAUCUGACAUCCCUUGGGGUCAAGGUUUUCAAAAAAAAAAAAUUGAGCACUUCCGCAUCGGUUUUAAAUCCAAAAAGGGACCCCGGUGCGUGACACAGCAAGUGAGGUUGUCUUACGCCCAAAGUGCUUCAGCACGCUUUGGAGCUUAACUGAAUCUUAAAACGAGAAUUUCGGGCAAUUUCGUCACACCGUGGUCUUACUCCUCGGCCAUGCCACUUGGAAAAAAAUGGGGGAGAAACCACAAUAAGGCUUUCCAGUUGGUACAAUAUUUUGCCUGCAUGCCUCAAGCACAAGAGGUUGUGCUGCUACUGAUACGGCCCACGUCGCUAUGUCGUGCCGUGUGGGUGGCAUAGCGAUAUGGACUGUGCCAAUGACGCGAUAAUUCUUGAGUAAAAUAAUAUAAAAUUUAUUAGAUUUGUAAUUGUAUAUUGUAAUAUUUGAUUCACGUGUAGAUAACUCGUUGGGCCAAAACCACCGGCGCAAAAUGCUUAAGCCCAGUUAUUAUUUCUAGCCUAAUCAAGCUUAUAUACCGUCACAUCUAGUCAUCACUAUCCGAUGUGGGAUUAUUGGGGUGUCACAUACUCUCUCCGUUUAGGCCUGUCCUAAACACACACAGCCAAAAAUCACCAGGCGAUGUAAGACUUGUUUCACUAGCCUUUGUCAUUCCGAACUAUCCGAUGUCGGAUUAUUGGAGUGUCACAUACUCCCCUCGUUUAGGCCUGCCCUAAACACAUACAGCCGAAGAUCAUCAGGCGAUGUGAGACUUGUUUUGCUAGCCUUUGUCAUUCCUAACUAUCCGAUGUCGGAUUAUUGGGGUGUCACAUACUCCCCCCGUUUAGGCCUGCCCUAAACACACACAGUCGAAGAUCACCAGGCGAUGUGAGACUUGUUUCGCUAGCCUUUGUCAUUCCUACCCUGACUUUGCCUGUCAAUCACCGACCCUGACUUAGUCUAUCAUUCCGACCCUGGCUCAGCCAAGACUUAUCUCACACUUCCGGCUGGUGAACUAGCUCUGAUACUAAAUAUAACAAUCUAGCAUACUAGCAACAAUAACUCGUUGGGCCAAAACCACCGGCCCAAAAUACUUAAUCUCAGUUAUUAUGUCUAGCCUAAUCAAGCUUAUAUACCCCCACAUCUAAUUAUCACUAUCUAAUGUGAAAUUAUUGGGGUGUCACAAUUAAUUAAUAUACAAGUUUGUCUUUUGAGUUUUUAAAUUUUAUGUGUUCUCCAUGUUUAUUGACUUAGGAUAAUGUGCUCAAUACAAAUGCUACUUUAUAAGAAUGAGGAAGUACAAAGACAUGUCUCUCAUGAAAAAUUAAUUUUAUUUUAGACUACAUCUUAUAAACAUGAAAAUAAAUAUUAUAAAUUGUGUGAUUGUACGAGUUCCGCCAUUAGAAGUAAAUGCAUGAUAAAUUAUAAUAAAUAAUAUGUGCGAGAGGUAAAAUGCAUGAUUGAGUUUAUUAACAUAUAUAUUGUGGGUGAAAAUGUUCCAGAGUAUUGUUAACAAUUCUAUGAUUUUGUUAGUAUUCAUAAAUGAUUUUCAUUUUUCUCAUAUAAGUAAUAUAUGGAAGAAAAUUUAAAUAUUUAAUAUUAUUUUUUUAUUUUUAAAUUUUUAAUAUGAUUGAGUUUUGGUGAAUAUAUAAUUUUAAAAGUAUUGUUAGCAAUUCUAUGACUUUGCUAGCAUUCAAAAAUUGUUUUCAUUUUCUCAUAUAUGUAAGAUAUUGGAGAAAACUAAAAUAUUUAAUAUUAAUAUUUUUAUUUUUAUAUGCUUUGGUUUUAAUCAAUAUUACACAAAUAAAAUUCAUCUAAUAUCUAUAUCUAUAUCUAUAUCUAUAUUUCUAUACUAUACUAUACUAUACUACUACUUAUAUAUAUAUAUAUUAUAUUAUAUAUAUAUAUAUUAUAUAUAUAUAUAUAUUAUAUAUAUAUUAUAUAUAUAUAUAUAUAUUAUCUAUUUCAUUUAACUACAUUAAAGGAGGGUUUGGGGACCUUAGAGUGACACGUGUCCCACCCAUCCUCUACACACAUACAUAUAUAUAUAUAUAUAUAUAUAAAAUAUAUAUAUUAUAUUAUAUAUAUAUUAUAUAUAUAAUAUAUAUACAAAAUUUAAAAUUGAUAUUUUAAUUUUAAAGUUUUAAAUUUUUAUUUAAUAUUUUAUAUUUAAAUUAUAAUAUUUAUUUCAAAUUUUAACUUUUCAAAAUUUAAAAUUUUAAAUCUCUAAAUUCUAAUAAUACGCGUAAUAAAUCGCGUAAUUAAAAUCUAACCUAAAAAUCAAUUUAAAUUACAUAAAUAUUCCUGUAAAAAAAUAUAGAAUUUAAAUUUUAGGACUAAAUUUUUAGGAAAUAUAGUGCAUAUGUGUAUAUAUAUAAUUAAUUAUUAAAUAUAUUUUUUUUUAUUUAUUGGUUUUCUUAAAUUAUUUUGAUAGAUUUAUCUCAAAUUCUUUUCAUAUAAAUUUUAUAAAAUAAAUUAUUGUAUAAAUUUACUUUGCGCAUAAUUAUUUUUAUAUAAUUUUUUAUUUAAUUAAUAAUUAGACUUAUAAAACUAUAUAAAAAUAUUAAAAAAUAUAUAAUUUAUUAUAAAAAUAAUUUUAUAUCCGCAGCAUCGCGCGGGUAAUUCACUAGUACUACAUUAAAGGAGAGUUAGGUCACCUGGUUAGGAGGUGACAUGUGUCCUCCUCAAGCUCUCCUCUCUCUUUUAAAAAUUUGCAUGCACCUGGUCUACACAAAUAUAACAUACACCAAAUCUAUUUUUUUAAUUUAAAAUUAAAAUAUAAUUUAAUGGAUAUAUUUAAACUAUAUAAUAAAUUUUUGUACAAAAUAUUAUAGGGUUUAAGUUCCAACAAUAUGGACUUAUCAAUAUAGUGUUUAACAUAUAAAUAUAUAUACACCCCCCGUGCAUGAAAUAAUUUCUUCCCAACCUACUUCUUAUUUAUUAAAAACUUUGCCUACGCCCGGUCUAUAAAUAUUACAUACACUAACCUUAAUUUUUAAUAAUUAAUAUUAUUAAAUUAAAAUAUAAUUUUAUAAAUGCGAUCUAUACUAUAUAAAAUGCCCCUAUAUAAAAAAUUAUCAGAGUUAGAUUUUUAUAUCAAAUAUUUAAAAAUAAAGUGUGUAAAAUUUACUUAUACACCUGGUGCACCAAAUAGUAUCAUUUAUUUUAAUGUAGAUAAAGAUAUAUAGAUAGCCCCUCAACUAUAAUUUUUUUGAAUUGAGUAUAUAAUACGAAAUUUUAAAUUUUUAUACUUUCAAAUUUUAAAGUUAUAAAUAUCAAAUUUUAUAUUUUAUAUUUUAAAUUCUGAAUUUCAAUUUUAACUCAUAAUAUUUAUUUCUAAAUUAUAAACUUCAAAUUUUAAAAUUUUAAAAUUUUAAAUCUCUAAACUCUAUAAAAUUAAUUAAUUAAUUUACUAUAUUUAAGGAGGGUUUUGGGGAACCAAAGAGUGACACGUGUCCCCCAAACCCUCCUUUACUAGCUCUUUUCUCUAUAUAUAUAAUAAAAAUAUAUAUAAUACGAAAUUUUAAAUUUUUUAUACUUUCAAAUUUUAAAGUUAUAAAUUUCAAGUUUUAUAUUUUAUAUUUUUAAUUCUAAAUUUUAAUUUUAACUCAUAAUAUUUAUUUUCAAAUUUUAAACUUCAAAUUUUAAAAUUUUAAAUCUCUAAACUCUAUGAAAUUAAUUACUUAAUUUUAUUCAUAAUUAAUUAAAUAUAUUAUAUUUAAUUAAUUUUAUUAAUAAUAUGUGUAAUAAAUUGCAUAAUAAAAUCAAACCUGAUAGAUGCAAUUUAAAUCACGUAAAAUAUCGUUAUAUAAAAAAAUACAAAAUUUAAAUUUCAGGACUAAAAUUUUAGAAAAUAGUGUAUAUGUGUAUAUAUAUAAUUAAGUUUAUUAAACAAGUUCUUCUACAAUUUUAUUUCUCUUCUAUUUAUUAAUUUUUUAAAAAUUAUUUUGAUAGAUUUAUCUCAAAUCCUUUUCAUAUAAAUUUUUAUAAAAUAAAUUGUUGUAUAAAUUUCUUUUGCGCAUAUACCAAUUUUAAUGACUUUUAUUUAAAUAGAUUUAACUAUUAAAUUAUUUUUAUCUAACUUUUAUUUAAUUAAUAAUUAGACUUAUAAAAUAAUAUAAAAAUAUUAAAAAAAUAAAAUUUAUUAUAAAAUAUUUUUAUAUCUGUAGCAUCGUACGAGUAUUUUACUAGUCAUACAUGAAUC
rnacentral:lncRNA from 1 species